CUAAAACUUUUUUUUUUACAGAUACAGCAUCAUUUCAUCGUCUACGAAUAUGGUGGGACAACCUGCUAGACAGGUUGAAGACAUCUGUAUCUACCUCAAAGAAGGCAUGGAGAGACACAUUAAAGAAUAUGUGAAUUGUGAAAUUGGUGAGUUGGGGAUUGCACAGACAGUGGAAGUUUUGCAAAACCUACUUGGUGUCACACAUGGGUGUGAAAUUACUUUUUGGACUCAUUUAUGCACUUAAACUGAACUACCAGAAGAACAUCAGGUGCACCUUUGACCUUUCAAAAAAUCCUAAUGGAACUGGACUUGAUACAACCAAGCAAUCACUGAAAGAUGCUUCAGUGAAUAUCUGACAGACAAGCUGAUGCAUCCCCCUCAAAGUGGGUACAUUUUUGGACAUUUACAAGUGAACUUUUUAACAUUAAAGGAAUAUUGCACUUUCAUUAAACAAAAAUCCUGAUAAUUUACUGUCUGUCAUCGAAAAUGCUUGUCUUUUUUGUUCAGUCGAGAAGAAAUUGUUUUUUGAGAAAAACAUUCCAGGAUUUUUCUUAAUUUAAUAGACCUUAUUGGACCUCAACAGUUAAGUUUCAAAGCAGCUUUAAAGGGCUCUAAACGAUCCCAAUCGAGGCAUAAGGGUUUUAUCUAUUCAAAAGAUUAUCAUUUUUGGCAAGAAAACUUUUAAAACACAACAACUUGUCUUGCAUUAUCCAUGUGACACACAGUGCGACAUUGUGUACUACGUAAUAACGUUGAAGUUUACACAUCACAAAUGUGAAACGCACAUUUGUGGAACAUUUUAAAUAAUAAAUGGACCCAAAGACAUUAAUUAGUAUCAUUUCGCAUACAACAACAUCUGAACGCUCCUCUUUCUCCUCGCUUGUAAACGCUGGAGUGGUAGUUUCAAUUAUGUCAUGCUAGCGUGUCACACAGCUAGUGCAAAACGUUGUGAGUUAAAAGUCCUCUUUUAUUUUUAUUUUUGAAAAUGACAAUCGUUUAGCUAGAUAAGACCCUUAUGCCUUAUUCGGUAUAAUUUAGAGCCCUUUUAAAUCUGCAUUGAAACUGUAAACUUGAGGUCAAAUAGUCUUAAAUUGAGAAAAAUCCUGUAAUCUUUAAGAAAAUUAUCGGGAUUUUUGUUUUAUUAAA